AUGUGUGGACAUGACAAUGAAACUCUGUUUCAUUCACUGAUGGAGUGCGACCAUGCGGUAUGGUUCUGGGAGGCGGCGGAGCGAUUCUUCGAUAUACGUAUUCCAAGGCUACACCCGAUGACAUGGUCCAGGGAUCUGAUUGAUCAUGAGCUGUUUAAGCAAGAGGAUGCUGCUAUUAUGAUUACAGUGAUGUGGGCGGUGUGGCACUCAAGAAAUAGAUAUACACAUGGUGAACAAGUGUAUCAGCCGUCGCAAUCGAUGAUCAUCAUAGAGGAGAUAGUUCGAGCGCUUGAGGUCCCUGUUAGUGUGAAGAACCAGCCUAUUUGUCCCCCUCGGUAG
rnacentral:rRNA from 1 species